AAGGAAAAAUUAAAUGCCCACCUGACACUGGGCUGUAGGUCUCCCACAGGUUCUCUGAGGUUUCCCAGAGAUUUGUUGUCUAGUCCUUCCAUUCUGGGGACUAUUAUUUUCUUUUCACUAACUUUUACCUUUAUUUUUCUUCUUUUUCUUAGUAAAAAGCUUUAAGAGCUCUUAAAGUAGUCUGUUUUUCUACUGUGUGAGAAAAUGGUUCUUCUGAGCCUAGAUUUAAUAUGUAAGCCUGCCUGAAACUGCUGAUAUGACUCAUAGUUUAGUAAGCAAAAAAUCACAUAUGUUUGCUACAUCUUUCCUUCACUAACUUAAAAAAAAAAAAAAGAAAAAAAGAAAAAAAGAAAAGUUUGCAGAAAUCCCCUGUUUAGUAUUACUAGAUGCCAUACUUAAACUUUAUUUUCUGAUUUUCCCUCAGAAUUCUGGGUGCUGCUGCUGGACUUGUCAUCACCUUGUCAUCGUGUCCUGGUGUGUGGGCUACCGUGGGCUUCUGUCUAGGAUGAUUUCUUUUUCUUUUCUUUUUCUUUUUUUCCUUUUCCUUUUCCUUAUUCCCUUUUCAUUUUCCUUUUUUUUUUUCCUUUUCAUUUUCCUUUUUUUUUCCUUUUCCUUUUUUCUCUUUUUGCUUUUUCUUUUUCUGUUUUUAAUCUUUAAUAGGUAGUCACAUGUGAUUUGCCAAAGCCUAUGCUUUUCAGAAUGUAGCUGCUACAUGCUGCAAGGUUUGAGGGGGGGGCGGGUGAGUGUUCCAUUUGUCAAGGCUGGAUGCUUUUCUUUGUUCAUAGAAUGAGUGGGGGUUAUUUUUCGAGACAACUAAAGCAUGAACACCUAUGACUUUUGUUAGUUAAUAUAUUAAUAUUAGUUGGUUCCUCUUAGAUGAAAAGUUCCGCUCUUGACAAGGAGAUUCUUUCCAGUGAAAUUGUUGUAAACAAUACUAGUAAGAAUGAAGAAUUUGGGGAGGGGGGAAGGCAAUCAGAACAAAAAUAAUCAUUCUCUCUCUGAAAGGGCAGAAAGCCUGGAUGGCGUCUGAAAAUGUCUUGCUGUGCUAUAUACAGUACAGGAAAGAUGGAGCACAAUAGAUGGACUUUCUUGGAUUCAAAGGUGAAUCAAAAGGAAUUGGCUUCUGCCCGGACAAGGCAGCCAGAUAGGCCACAGUAACAGAUCCACGUGAUAAACCAAGAGGCAACUGCAGAGCUCCCCAGACAACUUGCCUGAAGUGCCUGCCAAGGAGGCAGAUGCUGCUGCUGGAAGAAUAUCUUCCACAGUUGGGCAUCUGGGUUCAGUGCUUUCCACGUAAGGGAGAGGGAUGGUAGUGUCAGGCUGGCCUCUGUCUUCCCGUUUAAUUAUUUCAACAUCCAUUUUAUACUUUUGUAAAUAACACGCGUUAUCCUGCCUUUGUGCAGGAAAAUAAGCAGCAAGGAGAGGGGUUUUGUCUGUAAUACAUCCCUUCACAGGGGUGUCUACACGGAUGGGUAACGGCAGGCUGAGCUUGGCUGCCCUGCGCUCCAGCCUGGUCAGAUGUGAGACAGCUCGGGUCUGGGAGUUGCAGAGCUGCCUUGCGGUGGCACGGAGCUCUACCUAAUAAGCAGAGCAGGCUGAGAUUCAUUAAUUUAACAUUAAUAAGCACAGCUUAUUAGCUCAGGCACAGCGCUGUAUAAUGCAGGCACAUGGCUUCUGGAGCAGAGCUGCGUCCGCCCUCGCCAGCUCAGAGCGUGGAGCAGAGGACCCAGCCGGGGUGCUCCUCUCCCCUGCUGCAUUUUGCAUUUAGGGAGGAAAGAGUCUUUUGUGGUCACUGGAGAUGCUUUUAUGCAAACAAAAGAAACCAUCCACUUUUUAGAUUGUAUUGCUGGUUUAUGCCAAGUCUUUAAGUCAUUUAUACUCCUUGUGCCUCAGUUUCCUGACGGGUGUGAAAGAGCUGCCUGUAGAUGCUGCUGUGAAAGCAGGUUAGGUACUGAUCAUAAAAUACUGUGGGAUCCUUAAAGGCUGAAAUGCUCCUUCUGCCUCACUUGAAUUAUAGUUCUGCGAGUAAAUUACUGGGUACAAAUAAUGAUUUAUCAGAUAAGCAUUGGUUGUGCAGAGAGCCAAUAUGAGGUUUCUGCAUCAUUUGAUGUCCUGCGUAUGCCUGCAAAACAGGACCAGAAAGGUAUAUUGGUUUCAUCUGGUACCCACAAUUAGCUCACUCGGUUUGGCAGUAAAAUUUGCUUGUGGAUAAACAACAGAAAAGAGUGGAGUCCUGGGGAACUGGGACGCUGUUUUCACAAACGUAUGGGACAGCAGUAUACGUGAUAUAUGUAGCAAGCAGCUAUUCUCUAAACAUGUUCAAAUAGAACAGGUGGUUUUCUGUAGCCCUUUAUUUGGGAAAAUCCCUACUCAGGUUGGGGUUUGUUGUUUUUUCUGUGUGUAGAAUAUAAUUGUUUGAUCUGCUUAUCUUCAGGAAGAAGUAUGAAUAACCUAACAGUAGCUGUGCUCAAUUAUUGUCAGUAUGAGUCCUAGUAAAAUAUUUUUUUAUGGUAUUGACUGACAAGAGCUAUGUGAUAUGUCUGUUUGGCCCCAUAUUUUGUGUCUUCUGCUUAUGAGUAGAAUAAAUUUCAUGCAAAGAUGAACAGGGGACAUUGCUGGGUUGGUUUUUUUCCCAUCAAAUGCAAAAAAAAAUUAAAAGAACAGGUACUGCAACCUCAAGCUUUGCUUUUAAUCCCCCUCCUGUGGGCUUCACACACUGUACUGUGACUUCUUGCAACUUCAGAGGUCUCGGUUUAAGAAAGAUAUAUGGCACUGGUGUUAAUCCCUGCUGCCAGGCCUUUCUCGCAGAUUCUCUCAUCAGCUGCUUCGUCUGGGUUUCUAAAGGAGGACCCUUCUGCAGUGCGUUUCACAUUGUUAUUUGUGCUUGAUCUGAACCUACUCUUGCAGACUGGAUCACUGCAGAACAAAACCAUCGUGCAGCCUCACUGCUGUCAGUGAUUUAGGAUAAGCACAGCCUGCUGGGCAAAGGUUGGAUUCUCGUGCUGAGCUCCUCCAUGUCACUGAGAUGUAUGCUCUCACGUGCUGUACAAAGUCACAGGCUUACACAGUCCCAUGGCCCAGGUCUGCAUAGCCUUGUUCCUGUUGUAUUUGUCUGACAGAGGGGAAAGAAAGGUGUAGGAGAAAGGGGAAUGACACAGAAACAGCAUAACUGUGGUCCUUCAGCUUCUCCCCACUAGAAACCCCUUGAAGCCCAGUUCAAUAUUGUGCAAGAACAGCCAGCUCCACCAGCAAAUACAGAAAUUGCAGUAAUAUACCUCAAAUCAAACCAGUUUUCUUAUUCUUUUUUCAACUAAUUGGAAACUUUAGAAGCUGCUCUGAUUUACGCUGAGAAAACAUUGUGAUUGAAGAGGAUGCUGCAAUGUGCAAGUCAGUAGUGAGGUUGGCACAUCAUGCACAUUGGCACCCCUCUUCUGAAAAGUAUUUCUAAAAGUGAUAUAAUUCCGUGUUUUGUAACCUCUGCAAACCAGUCUUAUUUCCUAGGUUGAUUUAAACAAACACACAUUGCCUGCAUUUACUUAAUAUAAACAUAAUGUCAUCACUAAAAACGUAUUUAUGCUUCCUUAGUCUCAUUUAUGCAGCCAUGAGGCCAUGCAGACUGGCCCCUGUCUUUUGUGUUGACAAGUUCAAGAGAACAUACUAGGUUUUAUCUGUUUCUUUUUUUGUUUUCAGUAUCUAGUCUACUGCUGCUUCUGUAUCAAUGGAACAAAGCUUAUGGAAUCCCCCUGUCCUUCCCUGAGGAUGGGUUUGUGUGGCAGAGAAGGCUGACCUUCAGAGAGACUCAGACAAUUGCUCCCAUAAUGCUCAGAUCCCCAAAUGGUUCAAAUAUCCCAUCUUCCUGCCUUCCAUCCUGCCGUGCCACUACAUUGUGCCAGCAUAGCUUCUAGCUUCACCAAGCCUUCUGCAGGGAUACCCAGAUUUCUGCUGUGGUUAAAACGUCACACACUGUUGCUACAGCAAAAUCUGCCUGCCAAGAGUUUUUCCAACAAUUUGUGACUGAUUCAGCUGCCGAGAGAAAGACAGGUCUUGUCUGGGGCUUUUUUGGUUUGUUUAUUUCAUUUCUUUCAUUUUUUUUGUUGUUUUGUUUUAAUCGGAGCUGAGUGGUGGAGGUGGAUUUUCGAGUGCUAAUGAAAUUGUGAGACUUAUGGCGCUGGCUACAGCCAGCCGUAGUGUGGGCAGACGCUCUGUGAGCUUCCCCACUGUGCUGCUGUGCAAGCAUCCCCGCUGUUAUGUUUGCUAUAGUUUUAAUGUCUGUGAAAAAUUCCUGAUGCAACUAAAUUAUGUUCUGCCCUCUUGUUUGUAUAAAUAAACACCCGACUUAGCCAAUUCAUCUUGCUCUUGCCCAUUUUAGAAGCUUGCCGUGUCACACAAUGCUUAACCCCAGUCCUUGAUAGCUUUGGUGUUAUCAGGGAAUGAAAACUUGCUUAAAAGAGAGUGCUCUGUUGGCUUGAUUUUUUUUUUUUUUUCCCCAGAGAUGUCAACUGCCCCAAACUCUCCUUUCAUUUGGUAAGUCUUCAUAUUCUGGAAGUCAUGCUGGCUGAAAUACACAGACUUUUAUGUACAAAUAUAUAGAUAAAUUGUGUCACUUCUAAUGUCAGGAUAUUUUAAUGUUACUGUAUACAGCAUGAAAGUCCCAAUUUUAAUCACUUGCAGUACACUGUGGCAAUCAUCUCGUGCAGAUACAUUGUAAAAUAUUUUCUUGUUUUAAGAAAAAAUCUAUAAGAAGUGUUCAAACUAACUAAUGUUUGCUAUAAGGAAAAUAACCAAUUUGUGAUCUGAAUUGAUUUUACUUUUUAUUCAUGCCUCAGAAAUAGAUGUUGCAAAAGAAAAUGAGAAUUGUGUGAAACCUCUCUAUAUGGGCAAUUGAUAGAUCAUCCUAUGUGAUAUAAAGUGGCUUUUGUAAUGAAUAUUCAUACAACUUUUGUGAUCCAUUAGCAAGACCAAGACAAUGAGUUCACAACUCGGUCCCAUUUAACAAAAAUAUAUGUGGAAUUAAUAGGAAAAAACAGCACUUAGAAAAGUUAAACUUUAAUGUAUCAAACUCCAGGUGCCAGAGUUUGAGGGAAAUAACCAAUAAUAGCCAUUUUUUACAUAUUUGAUGGGACUGAUUAUGCAAUGUGCAACUCUAAAUGGCUUAUAGCACAUUGUAGCAUGGUUCCAUCCCAUUGGCUACAGUAGGGUGCAGGCAGAUGGAUGACAGUGACAAGGAGAGAAGUGCUUUUGCUUAGCCGUGCGUUAAGAUGCCAUCCAGAAGCUCUGUGCACUGCAGACACUUCAUUAGGAUGCCAGGAUAAUGGUAAACUACCACUCAGAGUGACACCCCAUUUCCUGCUUACUGAGCUCUCCAACCUCGGCAGAUGUCAACAAUCUCACAGUGCUACAGAGCAGACCUAACUUUCCAGGCACUUUGACUCCAAUUUUUUUCCCUUAACAGUGCCAUACAUUACAUGCAAUAUGUAACAGCAAGUACCAAACAGAAAACAAAAUUUGCUGCCCUAAUUAUAACAAAGCAGCAUCUGACUUAGGUACUGCAUGCCCAGCGUACAUACAACCAGUUAGGCAGCAUAAAAAAGGAAUGAUCUUUUGUCAGUCAAUUUGGGGGGUUAAUUAGACUUAGGAUUUUGAUAGCUAAUGAUAGUCUGGUCCCGACUGAAAUGAUUGUACUUCACUGCUAACUUCUACCAAGCAUCAGAAAAAUAUGCUGAGCUCUUUCCUGGUAUUUCAUACACUGCUACAGCUUUGUGCGGGGUUUUCUGCACAGAAAGAGCAGACUUGAGCAUCUGGACGGUGUGAUAUUUUCUCUGCAAAUGCACAACUCGAGGCCGUAACGCACCUCCCCAACAGCAGUUAAAGCCAGCAGAGAGACGACGCUACGAUGCUUGACCUGCACUCCUUUCCAGAAGCAGACAAAUAGUUGCUCACACUUUCAAAAAUUGUCUUCAGAUACAGAAGCUGCAUCCAUAAGGGUACAGCUGCUCCCAUGGCUGGUGGCUCGUCUUGGAUAUGAACCGGUGCCAUGCUGAAAUGAGCAGGUAAAUCAUUGUUUUGUGUUUACUUAGCUUUGUCUCACUGAUUUUACCCCAUGAUUUUCAAGGGACGAUCCCCCUUGCAGAACUAAAUGGUCCCUACCUUGUGUUAAGCCUGCGUAAGGGUUUGUUAAAAGCUUUGACCACUGGCUACCUGUUAAUACACAGAAUACUAAAGAGCCCUCCACAAUCACAGGGGGCAGUACAGAAUUAUUAUUUUUUUUAAUGUUAUAAACAUACUAUUUAUAAUAAUUUAUGGACAUUCUUGAAUUUAUAAAUAUCAAGGCUUUGCCAAAUAUUUUAACUAUCCCUCCAUGGCAAAUUGUCUUUAAAUACUGGCAGUUUUUUCUUUUUAACAUUUACUUGUGGACCAGAAACACUUGCAGUCUAUUGCCCCUGGCCUUCUGUGAGAAUGUUAGUUAGCAGUGCUCAUAAAAACUCAAUUCAUCAAUGUGAACAUAAUUUGCUAUGAACAGAAAGCUCACAAAAGGGUGAAUUUGUCAGAUAGACAGGUGGCCUGAGAUCUCUCCCUGAUACUGAACGAUAUGAAUAAUAGAUUCUGGUAAAUGUAUGCCAAGACUUGAGCUGUAAACACAGCUGCCUCCAUUCCCUUCCAGAAUAACAGCUUCGAGAACGAAAGCACAGGAACCACAGUUCCACCUGAGGACUAAGCCUGUGCACGUACACACACACACACACACACACACACACACACACACAAAUGCAAUGUACUUGUAGGCUCACAAAGAAAACAAACCCUGGAAAAAGGACGUUGCCAUUUCCAGCUCCUUUUGCAGACCCUUGCUAUGAACGGAUUUUAACAUGUGUGGAGAGCAGAAGGAGAGAAUAAUAGAAAACAUUUAAAAUAUAUUUUAAAAUAUCUGCAGUCACAGAAAUAAAUCUUUUUGCAAUCCAAAGAGAAAAAAAAACAACAACAACCAAACCCUCAGCUGGCUUUUGUAGGUAAAGGAUCCAGACGUAAGACGAAAAAAAAAAAAAGCGUCAUAAUGUCACAGCUGAACAUGUAUAAAAUAAAAUUAUAGAGCUUUUUUGCUUUGCUACUACUUCCAAAAAUUAGUUAACUGUAAUGAUCCUAGCUAGACCUGCACAAUGUGGUUUUUUUUUUGUUGUUGUUGUUGUUGUUGCAGGCUAUUGGUAUUUAUUUAUACUGCAUUCUGUUUUAGCUGGGUUUUUUAGGCUUAAAUCAUUAACUACUGUCCACAGACUAGGUUAGAAAGAUAUUAUAUGUGCAAAAAUGACCUUUAGGCUUUUCUAAUGAACAGCUUUCUGCUGGAUAGUUGCCCAACAUAACUUUAGAGCAGGCUGAAGUCUGUUCCAGUCAAUCCCAAUGACCGACGGUACAAAAGGGUCACUGUAAUGUUUGGAGACCAGUGGGAAGGACCUAAUCCCAGGUCAGGACAUGCUGGCAGCAUCAUGUAAGUGGGAGGAAAAGAACCAUGGGACAGUGACUUUACAUUGCUGAAAAAAACCAAACAGGUCUUAAAAUGGACUCGGUCGGGGCCAACCGCGUUCAUUUUGAGAGUGCAUAAACUGCGUGGUACAAAUGCUCUGAUGCAGUUGACUUCAAAGGGCAGACGUAUAAUGUAUUGCAAAAGAGAAUGGUUGGAUGAAGUGCUUUUUUUCGGGGGGGCUAUCAAAUGCUUUUAAUUUUGCAGUUCUAGCUGAGGACUUUCAGCUCCAUUCUUUGUGUGGUCUGGGUUUAAUAUAUUUCCCCCCUUAUAGGUAAAAAACAAAGGACCUUUCCCACACUAGCAUGCCUUAUUUUGGGGAUGAGGCAGGCUCCUUAUUUGAUCCUUCCCUGGCAGCGAUACAGCCCAGGAAAUAAACUGGGAAUUGUAUCAUCUAAAGUUCAUACAUGUUUGUUAAUAUUUGUUAUUUAGGGAGGAUGCUUCUCCAUAAUGAGUUGGCUAAGGUGAGAGACAUGUAGCACUGAACGCAGAACCAGCACAUCCUAAAGCUCCCAAAAUGUGACCGCAUAUGAGAUAUUAAAGGCAAAAUGGAAGUUCUGAACAAAUGAAAUCACUGUCAGAAUAAUAAAAGAGAAAUGAGCUAUGAUCUAAUCUGUUUUCUAGCAGUGUCACAGAGGAGCUAUAAUAAAAGCUAUUUGCAAAGUUCAGAAUCAUUUCCCGUGCAAAGCCAUUCACACACUAUACGACUCUGGACAAAUGGAGGGGGUCUUGGCUUUGCCAAAAAAUUGUAUGUGGAUAGUUUACUAUUAGUUUUAAGUUUGUGCACCUAAAUUUCCCAGUUGGCUGCAAUUUAAGCUCCCUCAUCGAGAUGGCAUAUGAACUUGUGCACCUGGCUUUCUCCCUCUUUUUUUGGUGUAUCAUCUUCAACCCUCCCCAAUUACAAGCUGCAAGUGUAUAGGACAAACAGAAAAAAAAAUAAAGUCACAUCACUGGGUGGUUAUCUAACCUGCACUGUGUACUGAACACAGCGAACUAUGUUUUGUGUCCUCAUUGGAAAUGCUCGUUCUGUUCUCCCUAGAACAAUGCCUGAAGUGCAAUCCCAGUUAUGCUGUGCCUCUGUUUCUGUUGCAUCAUCUCUGUAUGCUGGGUGUGAGGAAGAGACAUACAAAAGGGACACAAGGAAGGAUGAAGUGGGUAUACAACUGCCUGUUUCCUCCCUGAUCUUCAGAAAAAUGAAUCUAUGACAAGUGAUAAGAUAAGGAUGGAGGUAUACCUUGAGUCAUGCACAGAGGUUAUGAAGCCGCUGAGCCUUAUGUGCCUCCUUUUAAAGUGAGUAAAAGGAACUUAAGGCUGUUUGGAAUAGUGAUGCUUCCUUCUGCUCUUUUUUGCAUUUUAAAGGGAUAUAGGUUGGGAAGCUGGAAAUAGGACUGAACUAAAGGGAUAGAGAACAUGAAGCAGAGCUGAGCUGUCCUUGCUCUAGGCUAUAGGAAAAAGUAUGAAAAGGUGGAAAACCACAUCCUCCGCUGAUUUCCACACAAGUGGAAUAAUAGCACCCAAGCUCUAUGUAGAUCUUUCUCAUUUCAGUUCAGUGCCUGCUACUGUAAGCAGAUUAAGGCAUGACAGAGGGAGCAAAACAAAGAGAAAAUACUGUUUCUGCAACGUGGCAUCCACCAAUCUCAAACUUGUGGACGUAUGCAGAGGAGAUUUAAGAGUGGAGUGGACCCCAUGUAUAUAUAAAUAUAUAAAGCUCCCUAUUGAUAUUUAUAAAGGCCUCCUGUUGAUCAGAGGGACUGGUGACCCAAAGAUCUCCUACUCACAUGGAAAUUAACUGAUUAGCAUCAAUGGGAAGAGCAGCAACUGACAGAGAGCUGUGGGACCACCCCAGCUCCCUGGAGCCUGACAGUACGGCUGGGGAGGUUUCCAUCUAAAUGUUUUGAUGUGUGUUUAUAAGUUAUCUCCUGUCCAAGGUGGUGUCUAUUGGAAAUGCAGUUUGAUAUGGUCAUUCAUCGUGAAGACCUGGUGACAAGUGGUAAUAAAUCAGCUCCUAGACUUCACGGGGCUGGACACUGUCCUCUGUGAGAGGGACUCUUUCAGACCUGCCUGUGUUGUUUAGCAAAGAGCCCUGCAAAAAUACACCUGUGAUUCAUGUACGCAGCUGUCAUGCAAGUCUCAAAAUGCUGAAGUGGGCAAAUCACUUAUUUGCCCCAAAUUUCUUGGUUGUUUUUGCACAAAUCUCUCCCUAAUCCUCCCUAUUCCCAUUGCGCAUAUCUUUGUCUCAUUUUCCUCUUUGCUUGUCAGUCUUUUUCUUUCCCUCAAAUACGUCUCAUGAUCAAAGGUUUUUUUAAAAAAAUAUUCAGUAGCAAUAAAUCUAUUAUCUGCCAUAUGGGUAAAGUGAAGAAUCUCAUCCUUUUUGCAUUUUACUGGACACGGGAGUUACUACACAAAAUGAUAAAAAUAAUUCUGCUGCCUGCAAAAGCGCCAUCAUACAGUCAGUGUGAGUCACCAGCAAAACCCAAAGUCAUCAAAUAAAUGUAUGAUGCAUUGCCUCUAUGUGGGAAGGCCCAGCGUGUGGAGAAGACAAACACUGAGGUCUCUGUCUGGUGGAAGACAGUAUUGCUCUACUGACGAGAAGACUGGGUUACUGGCUCUGGUGUACUGGAAUGUGGGUGCUGACCCAGUCAUGCCAUGGCAUGGCAGACUUCACAGGGUAAUUUUGGUAACUUCUGAUGUACUGAACGUGAAAGCUAAACAGACAACUUAAAAAUAGGAAGCAUAUUCCAACCCUGCUACCUAUCCUAUUACAAUGCUGGUGUUAUUUUUUAUACAUUAAAAAUAAAAAUAAAAAUCACAGAAUACGUGUAACUUCCAUGGUAUUUCUUUAAGUGUUUCAGUUUCUAGUUAACUUAUUUUAGAGCUUAAGAUCAGGCUGUUGCAGAAAAUAUGAGACUACCUAUACGCCUAAGCAAGUCUAUUCUGAAAAAGAAAGCUGAUUUGUGUUAUCUAACUUUGAUAUUAUUGAAAUCUAACUCUGCCUAUACUUCCAGAACUCCAGUCCCAACAGUACUUGAAUAAGAAUUAUUAUUUGUAUUUCUAUUGAUAAAUUAUUCUUCAUAACAAUCUUUCCUUCUGACACAGCCUCUUAUUUCCACCUCUAUGCUGCUACAUGGUUCCCUAAUUAUGUCUAAUUAUUGCACCACCAUCAGCAAUAACAAAAAAGGAUUUAGUCAGGUGAGUUUGACAUAUUAUUUCUGUACGUGAUACAGCUGACCUUGCUGUUUCCAUUGCAAAUACAUCACCAGUACAGUAACUGUAUUUACAAAGAAAAGUGGUAUAUAAUGAACAGCAUUUUAUAAGCAAGUGGAUGCAUUAUUAUUUAUGACAAGGAACAUAGCUCACAGUGCACAAACUGAUCAAGAAAUAGGACACAUACAUAGAUUUUCUGAUCUUUUGCCUGUUCCCAGAAGUCAAACUACAUGGCUCUACAAGUAACAAAUGACCUUAAAGCCACAGGAGAAUCCCUAUGUGUAGAGGAGUCCUUUGGUGACUUAAAGCUGCCACACUGAUUCUUCUGAAGUUAUGACUUGGAGCCAUCUCAGCUAGACCUCAGCUUUUUGUCCAUAAACUCACACGAUAGAUGUGCCACAACACCCAAGGCCUAACUGGGCACAAACAUCCAGCAAAGGGUUAAUAAAAGCCAUGAAAAAGGCAAAUACACUGCUCUUUUUUUAAUUAUUUGAAAAAGGGAAUUCCAGGAAAUUAAAAAUUGCACGCUAUAUUGGGCAUCUAUGGCCAAACAACGAAAACAAAUAUAAAAUAAAUCUAGUAUAGUGAAUGAAUUAAAGAAUUAAAAAGGCCAACAUUCUUCUCAAGGAUAUAUAACCAACCUCCUGGAAAACACACUUGAUUGCCCCAGUAGAAGAGGCAGUCUGGUGCACCAGGACUCACACCGGACAUGCUGCACAACCUCCCAUCACACGAUAUAGCUCACACUAAAGCCACUAAGCUUCUGGACAAAACGUUCCUACAUUAUUUCUCCAGUGACCACCUCCUUUACCUCCUGAUGUAGGAAAAUAUAUUACAGGCACACAGCUGGGGUAAAGGAGUCUACGGUCACAAAGUAGAAAAGAGCAGCCUCUCCCAGGUCACAGUCCCAACAAUCACUCCUACACUAGUUGGAGGUUUGAGAUGGUUUUAACCUUAUCUGAAUGUUCUUUGUUUCGGUUUGUUUUUGUUGUUUUUUUUUUUUUAAAAGGAAAAUUUAUAACUGUUAUGUACACACAUACAUAUAUAUCAUAAUAGCUGACAAGAAUAAAAGACUACAAAGGGAAACUUAUUUGUUCACUAAAUAUGCAACUUAAUUCCUCAUAUAUAUAUAAAAAACAAACCUAACAUAAACUACCACUCCUCCUUCCCCUACCAAAACCCAGCAGUUUUUCAUUUUUGAAGAAAAGUUCCUAAGUACCUCAAGCUGCUUUCCGUGUUCAGUGGAGAAGCCCGAGUGCACCAGGGAGCCUGUAACUCCACUUGAAGUAGUGCCCCAAAGACAGAGAUGGCCCUUUCCUCCCUAAAACAUCCUGGGCCGCAAGCUAGAUGUGUCAGCAACAUAGCAGGUGGGGGAAAUGUAUACAAGUAUAUUAAUUUUGUGGCCUAGAUUUAUGCAGAACACAUAUUUGCACAGAUUUGAUAUAAGACUAAAUCUUGUUUUAACCCUUACUGGAUAGAUGGGAAGCUUGGAAAGAGCAGGAAAGUAUAGCAAAGGUUGUAGAGCAGGGGGGUGGAAAAGAGGGCUGCUGCUGUCACUGCCUGCUCUGAGUCACAGGAGCUCAUCCGUGUGCCUCAGUUUACUUGCUGUGAAAUAUUUAUACUCAUGCUAGCAAGCUCACAAUGAUUUUGCAAAGCUUAGCUAAUUAGGUCAUAAUUAAUUAGGUUCUUAAAGCUUCCUGGAUGAAAGCAGAGCUGGGUGAAUAAAGCCAAAAAAGAAAGAAUAUUGUGAUUUUUUUUUUUAAUUUUAUUUUUUCCCCCUCUAAGGAAGAUCUGCUGAUGUGUCUGUAUGUUCACAAAUAUUCAGGUGAGCAUUUUUAUUCACUCAGAAUCUCCCAAAGACAAAAGGGCAGUGCAUACCAGCUUGAGGAAGUAUUCCUGAGAACAUUUCUACCAGAUGUGUGCUCAUGACCAUCCUGAAAAACUCUUUUCAUUGUUUGCACAACAAUUUGUCAAAGAGUUCUAACCAUUCAUGAAUUAUUUGCCAAAGGAAAAAAAGUAAAUUCCCUAAUGGCUUUACAGGCUGGUCUAUACACACUUUCCAAACUGCUUUAACCAUAGCACUUUAGAAAUGGAUGCAGCCACUGCGGUGCGACACCCGGCCGUGGCCAGAGAUGGACCUGUAUCUAGGAUGGGGCGACUCAAUUUUUGCUGCAGUCUACCAAGAAACUGUAAUGAGGGCUGCGUACUAUUAUAAUAAUAACUAUUUUUUUUUUCCUAAGGUUUACUGGGUAAACUUCGAGGCAUGGCCAAUGCUGGCAGCCACAGCUGGGCUGGCCGGCACAGGGGUGGGGGCUGCUGGCACAGCUGGGCUCUGCGGCACAGCGGGGCUGCAGGGAGGUACGGUGGCUCCUGCAGUAGUGGGAAACGGCGCUGGUGGGCAGCCGUGGGAAAAUGCACUUGCAUCCUGGCUUUGCAGCAGGGUUCUCUGUUUGAGGAAGCCUGGGGUAGGUGUAAGC